UACGUAGGGUGCGAGCGUUGUCCGGAAUUAUUGGGCGUAAAGGGCUCGUAGGCGGUUUGUCGCGUCGGGAGUGAAAUCCACUGGCUUAACUGGUGGCUUGCUUUCGAUACGGGCAGACUGGAGGUAUGCAGGGGAGAACGGAAUUCCUGGUGUAGCGGUGAAAUGCGCAGAUAUCAGGAAGAACACCCGUGGCGAAGGCGGCUCUCUGGGACGUGACUGACGCUGAGACGCGAAAGCGUGGGGAGCGAACAGG
rnacentral:rRNA from 1 species